rnacentral:rRNA from 1 species
GACGAACGCUGGCGGCGUGCUUAACACAUGCAAGUCGAACGAAGUGGCGAACGGGUGAGUAACGCGUAAUCAACCUGCCCUUCAGAGGGGGACAACAGUUGGAAACGACUGCUAAUACCGCAUAUCGAAGGAGGGGAUUGCGUCUGAUUGGCUAGUUGGAGGGGUAACGGCCCACCAGGGCGAUGAUCAGUAGCCGGUGUGAGAGACUGACCGGCCAAAUUGGGACUGGGACACGGCCCAGACUCCUACGGGAGGCAGCAGUGGGGAAUCUUCCGCAAUGGACGAAAGUCUGACGGAGCAACGCCGCGUGGGUGAGGACGGCGUUCGGGAUGUAAAGCUCUGUUAAUCGGGACGCGGUACCGGAAGAGAAAGCCACGGCUAACUACGUGCCAGCAGCCGCGGUAAUUC